CGUGAGGACGAGCCAGGGGCGGGGUGGAUAGGGAGGGGGAAAGGGGUGUCCGGAUUUGGUGGGGUUAAAGGGCGGGUAGGGGGCCCGGCAGGGCCGUUGUGAAAACGGGAGGCUCAACUUCCAGACGUCGAUGGAAACCGCCAGGCUAGAGUCCGGAAGAGGAGAGUGGAAUUCCUGGUGUAGCGGUGAAAUGCGCAGAUAUCAGGAAGAACACCAAUGGCGAAGGCAGCUCUCUGGGACGGUACUGACGCUGAGACGCGAAAGCGUGGGGAGCGAACAGGAUUAGAUACCCCGGUAGUC
rnacentral:rRNA from 1 species